rnacentral:rRNA from 1 species
UACGGAGGGGGCUAGCGUUGUUCGGAAUUACUGGGCGUAAAGCGCACGUAGGCGGCUCUGCAAGUUAGAGGUGAAAGCCCGGGGCUCAACUCCGGAAUUGCCUUUAAAACUGCAUCGCUAGAAUUGUGGAGAGGUAAGUGGAAUUCCGAGUGUAGAGGUGAAAUUCGUAGAUAUUCGGAAGAACACCAGUGGCGAAGGCGGCUCACUGGCCCGGUACUGACGCUGAGGUGCGAAAGCGUGGGGAGCAAACAGG